rnacentral:piRNA from 1 species
UUAUCCAGAUUUCAUAUUUCC